GGUAUUUGUAAGUUUUCGAUCCUUAGAUUAAAAGAUAUGCGGUUAGAAUGAUUGUGACCCUUCAGGUCAAGUGAGUGAUUGGCUAAAUAAUAUGAUUUAACUAUAUAUAUAUAUAUAUAUAUAUAUAAAACUAAUAUGAGGCUCACCGAUCGUUUCUGGACCAAGUGUCAAAAAAUUUAAUGAUUAAUAUCUGAGAUUUUAAAUUUCAAAUUUUCUUAAUACAUUUUCAGCUAAGCACGCAUGCUAACCAUUCUCUCUCUUUCGAGAAAAAAAAAAUCCUAAUAUGAAGAUCUUAUCGAUCUUUUUGUUUGGCCAUAAAUAACUUAUAUACAGUUGAAUUUCCCCCACAAUUGCUAAUAUAGACUCGAGACCUUUUGACAGGCUAAAGAUGUAAUUAGAAGAAAAAUAAUUGAGACUAAAAAAUUUAACAAAAUUUGAACUUAAUUAAUUAGCAUUUUUUGCUCUGAUACCAUUCUAGUAAAGUAUAAAAGAAAAAAAAAAAAAAA
rnacentral:lncRNA from 1 species